GACGAACGCUGGCGGCGUGCUUAACACAUGCAAGUCGAACGGAAAGGCCCUGCUUUUGUGGGGUGCUCGAGUGGCGAACGGGUGAGUAACACGUGAGUAACCUGCCCUUGACUUUGGGAUAACUUCAGGAAACUGGGGCUAAUACCGGAUAGGAGCUCCUGCUGCAUGGUGGGGGUUGGAAAGUUUCGGCGGUUGGGGAUGGACUCGCGGCUUAUCAGCUUGUUGGUGGGGUAGUGGCUUACCAAGGUUUUGACGGGUAGCCGGCCUGAGAGGGUGACCGGCCACAUUGGGACUGGGAUACGACCCAGACUCCUACGGGAGGCAGCAGUGGGGAAUCUUGCACAAUGGGCGGCAGCCUGAUGCAGCAACGCCGCGUGCGGGAUGACGGCCUUCGGGUUGUAAACCGCUUUCGCCUGUGACGAAGCGUGAGUGACGGUAAUGGGUAAAGAAGCACCGGCUAACUACGUG
rnacentral:rRNA from 1 species